rnacentral:lncRNA from 10 species
UGGUGGUUCUAACACGCAGCCAAGGUAGAGAACCACUGAGUUACAGCCUGGCCCUCAAGGGUGCACACCAAUUGCCUGGGUGGGGGAGUUGACAAAAUGCAGAUUUUGAUUCAGCAGGUCUGGUUUUAAGUCCUGAGGUUCUGCUUUUCAAACAAGUUCCCAGACGCUGCUGCCGCUGGUGGCCGGACAGCAUUUUGACAGAAAGGGGCGGGAGCACAAGCAAAGUUCCCUGGGACCGGGAUUGUGGUUCUAGUGCCCUCUGGUGGUCAGGACCUCCCUAGCAGCGCCCUGCAGAGAAGAACUGAUGAUAGAAGCCCUGGCUAACAGAAUUUCUGGCGGACACCUGGAUUUCAGCCUUGUAAUGACCGGAGCAGAACCCAGCCAAGCCUGCUUGGACUCCUGACCUACAAAACUGGUGCUCAUCCUCGGAACCCAGUCUCCAUGCUGUGAGGAAGCCCAAGCAGAUGCACAGAAAAGCCACCUGUAGGUAUCCUGGUCACAGCCCCAUCUGAGAGCCAGCAUCAAUUGCCAGACUUGUAAGUGAGAGAGCUUUCAGAAGGUUCCAGUCCCCUGUCUUCAAGUGGCCCAGCUGAUGCUGAGUGAAGCAGACAUGAGCCCCAGUGAGUCCUAUCCAAGUUGUAGAUUCGUGAGCAGAAUAAACAUUGCUUUGAUUCUGGAGCAGUGGCUCGUGCCUGCAAUCCCAGCACUUUGGGAGGCUGGGAUGGGAUGAAUGCUUGGGACCAGGAGUUUGAGACGAGCCUGGACAACAUGGAAAAACCCUGUCUCUACAAAAAAUUAAAAAAUUAACCAGGUGUGUUGGUAUGAGCCUGUGGUCUUAGCUACUAGG